rnacentral:rRNA from 1 species
GAUGAACGCUGGCGGCGUGCCUAAUACAUGCAAGUCGAGCGAACGGACGAGAAGCUUGCUUCUCUGAUGUUAGCGGCGGACGGGUGAGUAACACGUGGAUAACCUACCUAUAAGACUGGGAUAACUUCGGGAAACCGUAGCUAAUACCGAUAAUAUUUUGAACCGCAUGGUUCAAAAGUGAAAGACGGUCUUGCUGUCACUUAUAGAUGGAUCCGCGCUGCAUUAGCUAGUUGGUAAGGUAACGGCUUACCAAGGCAACGAUGCAUAGCCGACCUGAGAGGGUGAUCGGCCACACUGGAACUGAGACACGGUCCAGACUCCUACGGGAGGCAGCAGUAGGGAAUCUUCCGCAAUGGGCGAAAGCCUGACGGAGCAACGCCGCGUGAGUGAUGAAGGUCUUCGGAUCGUAAAACUCUGUUAUUAGGGAAGAACAUAUGUGUAAGUAACUGUGCACAUCUUGACGGUACCUAAUCAGAAAGCCACGGCUAACUACGUG